rnacentral:rRNA from 1 species
UGGGGAAUAUUGCACAAUGGAGGGAACUCUGAUGCAGCGACGCCGCGUGAGUGAUGAAGGAAUUCGUUUCGUAAAACUCUGUUCUAUGGGAAGAAAAGGACUGUACCAUAGGAGAAAGCUCCGGCUAAAUACGUGCCAGCAGCCGCGGUAAUACGUAUGGAGCGAGCGUUGUCCGGAAUUAUUGGGCGUAAAGGGUGCGCAGGCGGCUUUACAAGUUGGAUGUGAAAUAUUGUGGCUCAACCACAAACGUGCAUCCAAAACUGCAAAGCUUGCGUUAAGGAGAGGUAAGUGGAAUUCCUGGUGUAGCGGUGGAAUGCGUAGAUAUCAGGAGGAAUACCGGUGGCGAAGGCGACUUACUGGACUUAAACUGACGCUCAGGCACGAAAGCGUGGGGAGCAAACAGG